rnacentral:lncRNA from 1 species
AGGCGAUCCCAUGAAAAAGUCUUUUCAUCCAGUUCCCAAUGGCAGUUACAUGAGAAAUGGCAAACCAAUAAUUUUUGUCAAGUUUUUUAAGCCAACAGAAAUGCUUUUCCACUGCUACAGUUUCAAAAGGCACAGAUAAAGCUCAUUCACUGAGAUGAAUGAAAAAGCCAUCUGGGGUUUUUCUUUUUGACUUCCUUUCCUUUUCUCCAUCCUUGUAAUCAAAUUUGAGCAAAAUCAAAUGGGGCUUUCUAUGAAAGUACCUUUUGUUGAUCUGAACGAGCUGGUAAUUUACAAAAUACCCUUCCUUUGUGAGGAAGGCUAAAGAAAAAAAGAAUCAGUAGCUUUUAAAGCUGGGCCUUGGUGGGACUCUAAAUGCAGUGAAAGCAGUCUGUGUUGAGAGAUUGAAAUGUAGUUCAAAGCCAGGCCUGAGUCAGGGUACAGGGAAGAAAAAACCUAUGUGCAUUUUAUAAGAAGAAAAACCUGAAUGGGAAGGGGAAAAGAGAGAGAGAGGAAAAAAAUCUGGAUAAUACAUUAAUCAUUAUUUUGGAAAUUGUCUUCCUUACUGACACAUACUGCGUAACUAGUGAUUGAGAACUUGGAUUUUUGUUCUAUUAUAGGCGUCUCAACGUUUGUCUGUGCUGCUUUAAAGUUUGAGAGGCAAGGAUCCUUGAACACUGCUGGACUGUGUUUUAAAUGUUUAUAUUUUUCAACUUUGGGGCUUUUUUGGUUUUUGUUGGUCUUAUUUUUUUUUUUUUAACCUUCCCUGUGAAGUAUUAUGGGGAGAAAUACUUACAGGAAAGCUGAGUUUAUCCUUUUUGGCAUGCUAAUGUUUAUUUUUAUUGUAUUUCUGCUUACCAGAUUUCCUAGUGGUAAUUAUUUCCCAUUGACUCAGACCAAAGGACGGUGUGGACACCUCACAAAUAGUAUGCGGCUGAUAUGGAGAAUAUGUCAAGUCAACUGGAUGAGUCAGCACGGGCAACAUAAAGGACUGCAGUUAAAAGCUAGGGCUAGGACUUGGAGGAUGUGUAGGCAAACGGAAGGAGAGCCGGGGGAAGAAAAACCGAAAUGGAUUCAUUCUCCGUCCUGGAUGGAGGAGGAGAGGAGAGGAGAGGAGAAGGGGACGUGCGAGCUUCCUUCAGCUGCCUCUGUCCGGUGA